rnacentral:rRNA from 1 species
ACCCGCUGAAUUUAAGCAUAUCAAUAAGCGGAGGAAAAGAAACCAACCGGGAUUGCCUUAGUAACGGCGAGUGAAGCGGCAAAAGCUCAAAUUUGAAAUCUGGUACCUUCGGUGCCCGAGUUGUAAUUUGGAGAGGGCAACUUUGGGGCCGUUCCUUGUCUAUGUUCCUUGGAACAGGACGUCAUAGGGGGUGAGAAUCCCGUGUGGCGAGGAGUGCGGUUCUUUGUAAAGUGCCUUCGAAGAGUCGAGUUGUUUGGGAAUGCAGCUCUAAGUGGGUGGUAAAUUCCAUCUAAAGCUAAAUAUUGGCGAGAGACCGAUAGCGAACAAGUACAGUGAUGGAAAGAUGAUAAGAACUUUGAAAAGAGAGUGAAAAAGUACGUGAAAUUGUUGAAAGGGAAGGGCAUUUGAUCAGACAUGGUGUUUUGUGCCCUCUGCUCCUUGUGGGUAGGGGAAUCUCGCAUUUCACUGGGCCAGCAUCAGUUUUGGUGGCAGGAUAAAUCCAUAGGAAUGUAGCUUGCCUCGGUAAGUAUUAUAGCCUGUGGGAAUACUGCCAGCUGGGACUGAGGACUGCGACGUAAGUCAAGGAUGCUGGCAUAAUGGUUAUAUGCCGCCCGUCUUGAAACACGACCAAGGAGA